UACGGAGGGGGCUAGCGUUGCUCGGAAUUACUGGGCGUAAAGCGUGCGCAGGCGGCUUUGCAAGACAGAUGUGAAAUCCCCGGGCUCAACCUGGGAACUGCAUUUGUGACUGCAAGGCUAGAGUACGGCAGAGGGGGAUGGAAUUCCGCGUGUAGCAGUGAAAUGCGUAGAUAUGCGGAGGAACACCAAUGGCGAAGGCAAUCCCCUGGGCCUGUACUGACGCUCAUGCACGAAAGCGUGGGGAGCAAACAGG
rnacentral:rRNA from 1 species